ACUACGGGAGGCAGCAGUGAGGAAUAUUGGUCAAUGGGCGGAAGCCUGAACCAGCCAAGUAGCGUGCAGGAUGACGGCCCUACGGGUUGUAAACUGCUUUUAUACGGGAAUAACGCGCCUUACGUGUAGGGCUUUGCAUGUACCGUAUGAAUAAGGACCGGCUAAUUCCGUGCCAGCAGCCGCGGUAAUACGGAAGGUCAGUGCGUUAUCCGGAUUUAUUGGGUUUAAAGGGAGCGUAGGCGGCAUGUGAAGCGUGCUGUGAAAUGUCCGGGCUCAACCCGGGCCUUGCAGCGCGAACUGGCGUGCUUGAGUCCGCGGAAAGCAGGCGGAAUUCGUCGUGUAGCGGUGAAAUGCUUAGAUAUGACGAAGAACCCCGAUUGCGAAGGCAGCUUGCUGCAGCGGAACUGACGCUGAUGCUCGAAAGCGCGGGUAUCGAACAGGAUUAGAUACCCGAGUAGUC
rnacentral:rRNA from 1 species